GAUGGUGCUGGGUCAUUAAGGUUGGGCUGUUGGUGCUGGGUCAUUAAGGUUGGGUUGAUGGUGCUGGGUCAUUAAGGUUGGGUUGAUGGUGCUGGGUCAUUAAGGUUGGGCUGUUGGUGCUGGGUCAUUAAGGUUGGGUUGUUGGUGCUGGGUCAUUAAGGUUGGGCUGUUGGUGCUGGGUCAUUGUUGGGUUGUUGGUGCUGGAUCAUUGUUGGGUUGUUGGUGCUGGAUCAUUAAGGUUGGGUUGUUGGUGCUGGGUUGUUAAGGUUUGGCUGUUGGUGCUCGGUCAUUGAGGUUGGGUUGUUGGUGCUGGGUCAUUAAGGUUGGGUCAUUAAGGUUGGGUUGUUGGUGCUGGAUCAUUAAGGUUGGGUUGUUGGUGCUGGGUCAUUAAGGUUGGGUCAUUAAGGUUGGGUUGUUGGUGCUGGAUCAUUAAGGUUGGGUCAUUAAGGUUGGGCUGUGGGUGCUGG
ensembl:lncRNA